GACGAACGCUGGCGGCGUGGAUUAGGCAUGCAAGUCGAACGGUAUCAUCCUUUCGGGGGUGAGAGAGUGGCGAACUGGUGAGUAACACGUAGGUUAUCUACCCUCAAGACGGGGACAACCCAGGGAAACUUGGGCUAAUACCGGAUGUGAGCAACUUUUAGUUGUUUGAAAGGUGGCGUAAGCUGUCGCUUGGGGAUGAGCCUGCGUCCUAUUAGUUAGUUGGUGAGGUAACGGCUCACCUAGGCAAUGAUAGGUAGGCGGCCUUAACGGGUGGUCGCCCACACUGGGAUUGAGAUACGGCCCAGACUCCUACGGGAGGCAGCAGUCGAGAAUAGUCUACAAUGGUCGGAAGACUGAUAGUGCGACGCCGCGUGAACGAUGAAUCCCUUCGGAUGUAAAGUUCUUUUAUAUGUGAGCAGUGCUUCUUAUAUUAACAGUAUGGGGAGAGAGAUAUUAGCAUAUGAAUAAGCAACGGCUAACUCCGUGCCAGCAGCCGCGGUAAA
rnacentral:rRNA from 1 species